CCUGAGCUACCCUCAGGUGAGAGACCUGCUCUCAGGGAUCAACAAGCUGGUCGCUUCACAUGGAGGACGCUCCUACUCAACGAGGAGGUUUUCUGUGCAGGAGCUGCAGGAGAGGAAGAAGGGGGCUUUGGAAGGCAACUACUUAUUAAGAGAUGCGUGAUUUCCAAAACCAUAGGGAGGAGGGAGGAAAAGAAGAAGUACAGCUGCAGAUUUGAUUUACUUCUGGACUUCCCCAUCGAUGGACAACAAGCGCACUCGACUCCAUGAAGACUGAAGAUUGUUUGUCUGAACGUUGUUUUAUUAAAUCAGCUGUUGUGCAAUUCUUAUGUUCAAUGCUAUAAUGUUUAUCCCUGCUAUAGGGUUACUUUUGUGUUUUUAUUAUGCAAUCAAACAGAAUAGGUCUAAGGACAAUACUAUCCAACACUGAAAUCAAAAAAUAUUUAGUUGCAAGUAAAAUAAAUUAAAUUAAAUAAACAGAUUUGAUUGCUGUUAAGAUGAAUCUUGUG